rnacentral:rRNA from 1 species
CCUACGGGGGGCAGCAGUGGGGAAUAUUGGACAAUGGGGGCAACCCUGAUCCAGCCAUGCCGCGUGUGUGAAGAAGGCCCUCGGGUUGUAAAGCACUUUCAGUGAGGAAGAACGCCUGGUGGUUAAUACCCAUCAGGAAAGACAUCACUCACAGAAGAAGCACCGGCUAACUCCGUGCCAGCAGCCGCGGUAAUACGGAGGGUGCGAGCGUUAAUCGGAAUUACUGGGCGUAAAGCGCGCGUAGGUGGCUUGAUAAGCCGGUUGUGAAAGCCCCGGGCUCAACCUGGGAACGGCAUCCGGAACUGUCAAGCUAGAGUGCAGGAGAGGAAGGUAGAAUUCCCGGUGUAGCGGUGAAAUGCGUAGAGAUCGGGAGGAAUACCAGUGGCGAAGGCGGCCUUCUGGAUUGACACUGACACUGAGGUGCGAAAGCGUGGGUAGCAAACAGGAUUAGAUACCCGGGUAGUC